AGCAGAAGAAGAAGAAUCU
rnacentral:sRNA from 1 species